UACGGGGGGGGCAAGCGUUGUUCGGAAUUACUGGGCGUAAAGGGCUCGUAGGCGGCCAACUAAGUCAGACGUGAAAUCCCUCGGCUUAACCGGGGAACUGCGUCUGAUACUGGAUGGCUUGAAUCCGGGAGAGGGAUGCGGAAUUCCAGGUGUAGCGGUGAAAUGCGUAGAUAUCUGGAGGAACACCGGUGGCGAAGGCGGCAUCCUGGACCGGCAUUGACGCUGAGGAGCGAA
rnacentral:rRNA from 1 species